GCGGGUGUGGCGAAACUGGUAGACGCAACGGAUUUAGGUUCCGUCGCCCAAAAGGCGUGGAGGUUCAAAUCCUCUCACCCGCA
rnacentral:tRNA from 1 species